rnacentral:rRNA from 1 species
ACGCUCGACACCUACGGGAGGAGCAGUGAGGAAUAUUGGUCAAUGGGCGCAGGCCUGAACCAGCCAAGUAGCGUGAAGGAUGACUGCCCUAUGGGUUGUAAACUUCUUUUAUAUGGGAAUAAAGUUUUCCACGUGUGGAAUUUUGUAUGUACCAUAUGAAUAAGGAUCGGCUAACUCCGUGCCAGCAGCCGCGGUAAUCUGAGCGGGCUGGCAAGGC